UACGUAGGGUGCAAGCGUUAAUCGGAAUUACUGGGCGUAAAGCGUGCGCAGGCGGUUAUGUAAGACAGUUGUGAAAUCCCCGGGCUCAACCUGGGAACUGCAUCUGUGACUGCAUAGCUAGAGUACGGUAGAGGGAAGUGGAAUUUCAGGUGUAGCGGUGAAAUGCGUAGAUAUCUGAAGGAACAUCAGUGGCGAAAGCGACUUCCUGGACCAAUACUGACGCUCAUGUGCGAAAGCGUGGGGAGCAAACAGG
rnacentral:rRNA from 1 species